GACGAACCGUGCGAACGUUGUUCGGAAUCACUGGGCUUAAAGGGUGCGUAGGCGGGCUCGUCAGUCGGGGGUGAAAUCCCCACGGCCCAACCGUGGAAGUGCCUCCGAUACUGCGGACCUGGAGGGGGAUAGGGGCGUGCGGAACUUCCGGUGGAGCGGUGAAAUGCGUAGAUAUCGGAAGGAACACCGGUGGCGAAAGCGGCGCGCUGGAUCCCUACUGACGCUGAGGCACGAAAGCCAGGGGAGACAAACCGGG
rnacentral:rRNA from 1 species